AUGCAGGCUACAAGCUGCUGUGCAUGGCACUGGGUCUGGCUGAUGCCUACAUGCUCUCAGAAGGCUGCAGGUUUGCUUGAGACAUCUGUGGCCCCCAUGCUGUGUCGCUGGGCCUAGGUGGAGGCGUGGUGAAGCUGGAGGGAAAGCUGGCUUUGCUUGGUGUGGAGGGACAAGGGUCCCCGCCUCAGCACACCUACCACCAACUGGUGCCAGGCAACCAAGAGGCAGCAGCCUGGGCCAGCCAGGACGGCUUGGUGGCAUAUCUGGAUGUCAGGCACUUGGA
rnacentral:lncRNA from 1 species